rnacentral:misc_RNA from 1 species
GCAAACUUGGUCAUUUAGAGGAAGUAAAAGUCGUAACAAGGUAACCGUAGGUGAACCUGCGGUUGGAUCAUUACUGAACUGCGGGAAAAGAAUUGAAACCCCCUUUUGUGAACUGUUAUUAUUUCUUUGGUGGCCCACAAACAUGUUGGCGUGUCUUUUUUAGAAAAGGCGCGACUUCGGGCCACCUAAUUGUUAUCAAAUUCUUUGUCUGAUGUAUAUUUUUAUCUUACAUGAUUGUUUGAGUAGAAUAUCCAAUAAACCAAAAACAACUUUUGACAAUGGAUCUCUUGGCUCUUGCAUCGAUGAAGAACGCAGC